UUUUUUUUUUUGGCAAAUCGUCUUCACCGACGAGUUCAGGCUGUCUUCGUCAUCGUCUUUUGUUACCAAGCCAUCUUUACUUCGUCCUUUCGUCUCUCGUGGCUUCCCUUAUUAGACGGCCACUGAGCGACUAAAGUCCGAUCAGACGCUUCUACAAGUAAUUGACUCCGAGAUCAACGAUUCUUUUGAUGCCGAUGAUCACGAUGUGGUAAUAUCUCGUCUCUAUCUCUUAGUUCCUGGAGAAAAGAAACGAAUUUGCGGAGGAUUUUGGUGUACUUGAAUAGUUAUAGUUUUGAUUUCUGAUAGAGAAUUGCAGAAGCAGUGUUGAAAAUUUGACAGAUUCUCUGUGGAAUGGUGAUAGUAGUGGCUUAUCAUCACCUAUGGAGGCUCUGUUCUUUUUAUUCGUUCUGGGUAUCUUAGGGAGGUAGCCAUGGCUUUUGGUUCUCCUAGGGUGAAGCCAAUGACACCAAGGUUGAAGAAACUCCAAGUUCAUCAUCUCCUCCACAUGAUGACUCCUCUGAAACUGCAUCAUCAGAACCAGAGUGUGAUUUGUAUCAAGGUAGUUGGUUUUAUGACCCUGGAGGACCUCUGUACACGAACAACUCUUGCCCUGUCCUGAGGCAGACGCAGAAAUGCCAGGGAAAUGGAAGACCUGACAAGGGAUAUGCUCCUGAAGGUGUCACAAAACUAAAGCUGCAUCUUCCUGAUGACUCAGUCUGCCUUUCGGUUAGAUUAAUCUCUUCAGUUCUCAGUUUCUUCUAUGUCUUGUGUGUUCAGUUCUCAGAUCCUUAAUCGGUGUUCUAGCAUUGGACUAUGUCAAAAAUAAACCUUCAUAACUCUUAACUGUCUAACUUUUGAUUUUGCAUUUUUUUCAAUUAUCAAUAUAGUUUGAUGCUCUAAAAGCCUUUUUUUAUAA